rnacentral:misc_RNA from 1 species
UUGAUUUAUUUCAUUAUGCAGUGUGCGGUGAGAGAGGUUCUGGUCAACCUCAUGUCACUGUGUGUUUUUCUCUGGACAUGGGUGAGCAAGAAAAAUGCCAUCAUUCUCCGCACGCAGCUCUCCGUCCGUGUGCACGCAAUUAUUGAGAAACUACUCAACUCAGAGGGCCGUGAGCUGCGGCGGGCCUUGUUCUCUCUCAAGCAGAUAUUCCAGGAUGACAAGGACCUGGUCCAUGCCUUCGUCCAGAAUGAUGGCCUCACCUGCCUCAUCAAAGUGGGCUCCUCGGCUGACCAAAACUACCAGAAUUACAUUCUUAGAGCCCUUGGACAGGUGAUGCUGUAUGUUGAUGGCAUGAAUGGUGUGAUGGAACACCAAGAGACCAUUCAGUGGCUUUACUCGCUCAUAUCUUCAAAGUAUCGUCUUGUUGUCAAGACUGCUCUCAAACUUCUCCUUGUGUUCGUUGAGUACACAGAGUCCAAUGCACUCAUUCUAGUUAAUGCCAUUGAAACCAUAGAUUCAUCAAGAGGAGAUCUGCCGUGGACAACCAUCAUGCGGCUCUUAGAAGGUCGGGAUAGUCUAGACAUGGAGCUUCUCACAUAUGCCAUGACACUAGUCAACAAGACACUCAAUGGCAUCCCUGACCAGGACACUUAUUAUGACCAAACUGACUGCCUUGAAGAACAGGGUAUAGAAACCCUAAUUGCCAAGUACAUGCACCGCCCAGACAGUGAUUUAGAUUUGCUUCAACAAUUCACUAUCUAUGAAGCAGUUCUCACCUAUGAAGAUGGUGAUGAUAUAUGCCGGACAUGCACCAUUGACCCAUCCAUCAGACAAGUACCCCGCAUAUGCUCUGCUGACCGAGAUUCCAUUGACCGUCGCAAGUCUCGCAGACACCACCAGUCACCUUCACCUUCCAAAAUGAAAAAGCCACACCAAGAGGAAGAGUCAACGCAUCAGGAAAACUCAGAGUCUGGUAAAAAAUUGGGUGUCAACCUGGAGGAUGGUGGUGGCAGACAGUCCAGCAGUGAUGAAGAUCACGUCACUGUCAUUAAUAUCAAUGGCGAGUCGUUUGGUAUUCCACAGGAUGACUUGUCUGGGGUCAAACAUGCUGAUGCAGGUGUCACACCAGCACUUCGUAGGCGACGUGAACGUGCAGAACGCCACAGAACAUUCAUUAAUGAACAAGAAAUUAUCAAUGAGACUCGCCGAAGUUCACAGUCAUCAGACAACAAUGUGGAGGAUGAAAAUCGAAAAAACAGUGAAAUGUCAGGACUAAACAAGCAGGCAUCAUGGAUGAUGGACAUGAUGUAUGGGAAGCGAGAGGAUGAUGGAACAAGUCGUAGGGAGUCUCUGAGUAACAUUCAAGAUAUUGCCUCAAGAAUAUCCUGUCUUCAAGACAAAGAAAAUGUAGAUAAUAAUAUGCGUUUGCCCAUUGAGAUUAAUGCUGAGACAUCGGUUAGGGAACUACAAGAUAAGAUGAUCAAUUCCAGUACUGGUCAAGUAGUAGCGGAUGGUGAGAAGCAGGGACGGAAAGGUGAUAUUAGUGACCGUAUUAAUAAAAUCAAGGAUGGUUUAUCCAAAACACAUUCCAAGGGUGAUAUAAAGGAUGGUCUUAUUCAGGUACCAGAGCCACCAAAGAAGUCAGAGAAUGAUAUCCAGUGGGAACUGCUGAUAAAACACCUGAACCGACCCCUUGUCCUCUGUGACCUAGAUUUCACGGAUCUUACAGCUGGCGAUGACACUGUCAUGCCAGAAACUAAGAAAACUGGUGUACCGCCACCACCACCACCACCUAUGGGGGCUCCUCCACCACCACCUCCACCAUCAGGAGUUCCACCUGCCCCUGGGAUGCCACCAGCUCCUCCAGCUCCACCUGCACCACCACCCUCAGCAGAUGCUUCUCAGAAUGGUUUGGAUCCUCAGGAUUCGUCUCACAUCAAGGCACAGAAGACCAAGAAAACUAUUAAGUUGUUUUGGAAAGAGGUUCGGGAGGACCCACGGAUGCAUGACACCACCAUCUGGGAUAAGAUUGAGCAUAUUCUUGUUGAUACUCAGAAACUUGAGCAUCUGUUUGAAUCCAGAGCAAAGGAUAUCAUUGCCAAGGAGAAGCAGCAGGAGCAAAAGGGGGUGAAGGAAUUAAUAGUGUUGGACCCCAAGCGAUCAAAUGUUAUCAAUAUUGGCAUGACAAAGCUGCCACCACCACGUACAAUCAAGACUGCAAUUCUCAAGAUGGAUUCUUCAAUCAUCAACCGUGAGGGAAUAGAGAAACUGCUUACAACAAUGUUACCAACACCCGAAGAGAAACACAAGAUCCAAGAAGCUGCCAUCUCCAACCCUGAGUUGCCUCUGGGUUCAGCAGAACAGUUCCUUAUGAUGCUUUCGUCUAUCUCAGAACUUCCUGCCAGAUUAAAAUUAUGGAUCUUUAAACUAGACUAUGAAAAUAUGGAAAAGGAAGUUGCUGAUCCUCUGAUGGACUUGAAGCAAGGAACAGAAGAUCUACAAAAGAAUCGCACAUUCAAGAUCAUCCUCUCCGUUCUCCUCUCCAUUGGUAACUUCCUAAAUGGCACAGUAUGUCGUGGUUUCCAGAUUGAAUACUUAUCCAAAGUACCAGAAGUGAAGGAUACAGUUCACAAACACUCGUUGCUUCAUCACUUGUGUCACAUGGUUAUUGAGAAGUAUUCAGAUACUUCUGAUCUCUACUCAGAGAUUGGAUCUAUCACCCGCGCCUCUAAGGUCGACUUUGAAGAGCUGUCAAGUAACAUUGCUAAAAUGGAAGUGGACUGCAAGGCAUCGUGGGACCAUCUAAAGGCCAUUGCUAAGCAUGAUGGCCCCACACAAAUCAAACUCAAAAUGUCAGAGUUUUUAGCUGACUGUGCUGAGCGCAUCAUUGUUCUGGGUGUUAUCUAUCAACGAGUCAUGACCAGAUUUCAAAGGUUCCUAAUAUGGUUGGGUUCACCCCUACUGAUGGCUCAAGAGGUUAAAGUGCAGCAAGUGUGUUCCACCAUCAGUGAGUUUGCCCUGGAGUACCGCACCUGCCGAGAGCGUGUACUGCAACAGAUUCAGAAGAAGGCAAAUCACAGAGAGAGGAAUAAGACUCGUGGGAAGAUGAUCAUGGAGGAACCUGACUACAGAGCAAAUGGAAUCCUCAAGCCUUGUUUGAAGAGUCGAUCGAUGGAGAAGUUUAAGAGACCAAAACAGACAAAGGAAGAAAAGGCUGAUUCUGACCUCAGACAGCUUCUUAACUACUCUGAUGUGUCAGACACCGAGACCAUUCGUGGGAAGAACACGUGGAGGAGGACCAGAGAAAGUAAAACACGAAGUCGAGGUGAGGAGAGCAUGACGGAGAUGAUAGGUGAUGGUGAAGAUGCCUUACUAGACUCUUUGGUCAAGACGGCCACUCAAGGGCCAUCAUCUCGUUCCACACCUAGAGAACGGAAGAGGUCACGCCAUGCAGAUCGAAAAUCUUUCCCAGCAGCUAAUGGGCCUAGAAGAUCAAGGUCAAGGAAAGGUGUACCUGACUUUUCCCAUCUAGAGGCGAUGACUCUGCCGGAGUGAGGCACCACCACUCAACUACUACCUCGGAUGCAUCGCUGCUCAAAACCCCUUGCGGCGGACCCUGAAGAAUGGGCUCACAGAGGAAGAAAAACGCCUGCUUGCCAUGAUUGCAGCCCAAACCCGCUGAGCUGCAACUAAGUAUUUCUACACCUACCGUCACCCACUCCUGCUUCACCCAAUUCUGGUCAUCAUCCAUUAUACCAAGACUCGUUCUAGAGUUUAUCUGACCAUUGUUAGAAACACUAUGACUAAGGUUUCUAGUGUAGGGUGAUAUUACCAACAGUUAUCCAGUGCAUAUGUGGGUGAUAUGAUCUAGUCAGUCAGGAGUGGUAAAGAACCAACUAAAGACAGCUCUGAUAGUGGUAGCCUCAGACACUUUGUAUAAAACAGACAACAAAGCCUUCCUAAUAGUUUGGAAAACUUUGAACACUUACAGAUUAUAUGUGGGUUUUCAAGGUGCAUGUCAUGAUUCAAAUGAUCACGUAUACAGUAUGGUAAAUAUAAAAUGCACUGCUACUAUCAACUGGCCCACUCCCAGUGAUGAGCCUCAUAUCUGCUGCACUCAUAUCCCUUUUCUGUGCACCUCUUUUCUUUCAUUACUUUUUAGAAUAUUCU